AAAGGGGAUGACACAAUCAGAAGAAUUCACCUGAAAAGGAUACAGCCUCCUCCUGGAAGUCAGAGGAGUAAAUAGGGAAUUGGAAAUUAAUUCCUUAUUUCUGUGCAUGCACAGAAUCUGGGCCCAGGUGACUUAUGGAACCUUUAUAGAGACCAAGGUGACUGACAUUCAUGGGAAAGGGGGUAGAGGGGCAAUAACUGACUGUUCGUCAAAAAUUAUUAGACGAGUGUGUCCACGACACCAGGAGAUAUGUUGAAUCAUGGACAGGUACCAGCAUAUCCACUAAGCUCUAUAUAUGUUGAUGGUGCAAGAUCCAAGUGGGAUGGAACAACAAAUUCCUGCUCAUCCUCCUGCUCAAUAAUACAUGUGCUCAGAAUCUGUUCAUAAUGCAUGGUGAUGGAGUCUCACUCCAUUGCCAAGCUGGAGUGCAGUGGUGCGAUCUCGGCUCACUGCAACCUCCGCCUCCCGGGUUCAAGCAAUUCUCCUGCCUCAGCCUUCCGAGUAGUUGGGACUACAGGCACGCACCGUCAUGCCUGGCUAAUUUUUUGUAUUUUGGUAGAGACGGGGUUUCACCAUGUUGGCCAGGAUGGUCUCAAUCUCCUGACCUCGUGAUCCACCCGCCUCAGCCUCCCAAAGUGCU
rnacentral:antisense_RNA from 1 species